AUAUUCUUUUUUUCUUUGCAUCUGUGUAGGACUGAUCUAUAACCUGAGCUAGUAGGUUCUACAGUAAUACAAAUGGUACAUGAUAACUGUGUGUGAAGAAAGGCUGGCAGCUUUACAGAAGAAAUCUCUGAACCUGUAGGCACUUGUAUAUUUUUACUUAGCAAUAAGAACUAAUGUUACUCUGGUGGACAGUAUAAGCUGGAGUAAACAGUAGAUAUGAUGUAGAAGAUAACUAUCAGCUCCAGAGAGAAACC
rnacentral:lncRNA from 1 species